UAAAGGCCCAAGCCCAAGAAACCAAUCUUGGAAGUCCUCAAAGGCAGCGCUCCACUUCAUUUUCAGCAAUCAAAUUGGUGAAGUCAAGCAAGAGAGCAAAAGAUCGGGAAAUGGGGAAACCAUUGGGAACAACAGGAGAGUUCUUCAGGAGAAGGGACGAGUGGAGGAAGCAUCCUAUGUUGACCAACCAGUUCCGCCACGCUUUCCCUGGCCUUGGCAUCGCCGUCGUCGCAUUCUCCAUCUACUGCGUCGGCGAAUUUGCCUACAACAAGAUGUCUGCCCCUUCUCACUCCACCUCUUCCGCCGCUGCUUCUCACUCUCACUGAGAUGAAUCCCCAAUCGUCUCUUUUGGUGAAUUGGUGGUGCAAGAACGGGGAUGACAGUAAAAUUCAGUCUCGCGUUUUUCUCAGUAAUAUCAAUAAGACAUUUAACAAACAUGGACUUGUAGCCUCAAAUUAUUUGAGGCUUGUUUUGUAACAAGAUUAAUGAGUGGUUUACUUUACCAUGUGUUUACCUCUGUUUUGUGGUUUAUUUCUAUGUUUCGAUGGGCUAUCGCCCCUUCUUUCUUGGAUUUUGCACAA